ACGUUCUGAAAAUCGCCAACAACAUUACCCAUUGUUGUCCGUGAGAUAAGUGUGCCAAAAUCAAAUGGCACGCUAUAAGCUUAUUGUCCACUACUCCUGUUUGUGGUUGAUAAAACCCGCAUGCCGACAUAU